rnacentral:ncRNA from 1 species
UGAUAGAGGCGCGGCCAAUAAGAGUACCCAUCCCGCAAACAGGCAACGGGGAUGGCGAAAGGCUUGGCCGCCGAGGGGCUUCCCGUUGCUGCCUGGCGGGGGAGGUGCCCGGGCCGUCGGAUAAGAUCCGCCGGACUGUCGCCCGAGUAUUCGGGCGGAGCGCUGUCA